AGAGCAGUUGGGGGAGUGGUUAAGAGAGUUACGUAAGUUGGAAGAAUAAUGGAAAGCCGAAGAACUUGAAUUUGGAAUCGGGGUACACAAUAAUUAAGUUCCGUUUUAUAUACUUACAUUAUAGGCGGAUUAAUUUCGCACAUUACACCAAAGGUGAUAGGGUCGACUUGGAAAGGCUUUUUCGCCACGCGGUGUUUGACCAAAAAAGGGAUAAAAAGGGAGUGAUUAGUUGCCAAGGGGCAGUUUUUCGUUCCCGAUUUGUUUUGCCGCCGUAGGCCAUGUCGGUUUAAUUUUUGUCUGUCGUCGGUCGUCCAGCCCAGAGAUGCGACAUUUAUUAUUAUCCAGCAUGUAAUUUGACUUUGAUUUAGAAUAAAACCUGAUACACAACUUAACUUCAUCGAACUUGUCAUUCUUUGACUCCCGUCCUUUUUUUGUACGUGGGCAGCGCAAGACGGUGGGCGGCCACCGGCCGUCUUGCAAAGCUGUGCCGCUACAAAAUUGGUAGUACGGAUGGGGUCGGUCAACCGUCAUCUUCAGCAUGUUCGGGGAACGUUUUAGUCCUUCAGUCUGGUUUUACGCAUAAACACAAUGUUUAUCGGACAUUGAUAUAAAUUCAACAAGGAGAGCUUCACUUCAUGUCACCGGUUCCGGCUUAUUUUUUGUUCGAGGAUGUGAAUUAUGAUAUUAUUUUAACUUUAACGUUGGAGAGAGAAAUUCAGCUGCAGGGGUUGGAUUGAGCCCCCACAUCGCCCGGGUUUUUGACGUUGGGACCUUACAUGUGCCGUUGAGCUCAGGAGAAAGAACCCUCGUCCUGGGACUCACGCGUGGCUGCAUUGUAGCGAGGAGUCGAGGGACCUGUGAAAACCACUGCAAAUAGACCUGACGGGGUAGCAUAGCUGGUUUCCACUAAAACCCUCCGGAUUAGUUGGUACCGACGAAGUCUGGUGAUUUCACAUUACACUGCGGUGAGAGGAGUCGUUUAACUGCGCGAGAAUCAUCUUGGAAGGGGCUGUAAAGGAACUCAGCAGGGCGAUUGCUUUUCCUUUGGUCGUCUCAUGAGGAUGGAUUGAGGUUAGGUACUGAAGGCCGCAGGCGCUAGUCCGGCUCGGGGAGUUGGACGCUAUCGAGGAGCUCCGAGACAUCGUUCUUCCAACCAACGCUUCGACACGGCCCUUCAUCUUCGUCAUCGACGUGGUGUGGUAGACCCUGUCUUCGAUAUCUUCGACGGUGGAAGCUGGCACUGUCGUUUGGAAGCCGAUAGCCUUGGCGAGUGAAGCAGCAGGAGUCGCUGGAAAACUACAUAUCAGAUGGCAGGAUGGUGUCAAACGGAACUGGAGGAGGCAUGGGAUAUCCACCUCUGAUGGUAGUUUUGAUAUCAUCCCAAAGUCUUGGUAAAUGGUAGAAAACAGUAAUGUUUGGGUUAUUUUUUUGUCCAUGUAAUAGGACUUGUAAAAUUUGAACAAAUGAAAAAAGGGAUUUUUUUUAAACAAUUGUUUAUCUUUUUAAUGUGGAGGUUUACCCUAGAGGUGCACUAUGUCAUCUGUUUGGAAGCAAAGGAUGAAUUGUACAUAAAAAAAAAAAAAAAAAAACACUGUAAAGUAAUGGUUCUGAAA